AUCUUGCUGGCUGAAUGGUAAAGCAUUUGCCUUCCAAACCAAGGUCCCGGGUUCGAAUCCUGGUGAAGACU
rnacentral:tRNA from 1 species